GAAAUGCGAUAAGUAAUGUGAAUUGCAGAAUUCAGUGAAUCAUCGAAUCUUUGAACGCACAUUGCGCCCCCUGGUAUUCCGGGGGGCAUGCCUGUUCGAGCGUCAUUUCACCACUCAAGCCUCGCUUGGUAUUGGGCGACGCGGUCCGCCGCGCGCCUCAAAUCGACCGGCUGGGUCUUCCGUCCCCUCAGCGUUGUGGAAACUAUUCGCUAAAGGGUGCCGCGGGAGGUCACGCCGCAAAACAACCCCAUUUCUAAGGUUGACCUCGGAUCAGGUAGGGAUACCCGCUGAACAUAAGC
rnacentral:misc_RNA from 1 species